rnacentral:lncRNA from 1 species
GGGGGCUGGGGUUGUACUAUAGAUGGUGGGUGGAGGGGAUGGAUGGAGGGGAGAAUGAGGGGCUGGGGUUGUACUAUAGAUGGUGGGUGGUGUGGAGGGAGGGAGGGGAUGGAUGGAGGGGAGAAUGAGGGGCUGGGGUUGUACUAUAGAUGGUGGGUGGUGUGGAGGGGAUGGAUGGAGGGGAGAAUGAGGGGCUGGGGUUGUCCUGUUUUUGUCGUUAUAUCUGAAAAUCUCUACAUAAAGUUAAAAAACAAACCAAGAUCAGAGUAACAGCAGCAUAUGAUGAGGGUAAAAGUGUGUGUGUUGGAUUAAGGGAUGGACCCAAUCACCACCAGUCUAACACCGAAGGAUCCAUAUGUGGUUCUGGCUUUAACAAGUCAGGGUCAGGGGUCAGGGGUCAGGGGGGAGGGGGAGAACUCAGCAGCAGACUUGGUUCAUGCCUUAGUUUAUAUUUCUCACAUGAUAUCCUUAUGAAACAUACAUCAUUCUGAAAUACAAUAAAACUAGUGAAAUCAAGACAUGGACCCACAUCAGAAUAAUGUUAGUCAUUCUGUAUAGAAGAGAAACAUGCUGAUUCUGCUCUGAGGGAUUCUAGAACAUGAUGAUUCUGCUCUGAGGGAUUCUAGAACAACAUGAUGAUUCUGCUCUGAAGGAUUCUAGAACAACAUGAUGAUUCUGCUCUGAGGGAUUCUAGAACAACAUGAUGAUUCUGCUCUGAGGGAUUCUAGAACAACAUGAUGAUUCUGCUCUGAGGGAUUCUAGAACAACAUGAUGAUUCUGCUCUGAGGGAUUCUAGAACAACAUGAUGAUUCUGCUCUGAGGGAUUCUAGAACAACAUGAUGAUUCUGCUCUGAGGGGAUUCUAGAACAACAUGAUGAUUCUGCUCUGAGGGAUUCUAGAACAACAUGAUGAUUCUGCUCUGAGGGAUUCUAGAACAACAUGAUGAUUCUGCUCUGAGGGAUUCUAGAACAACAUGCUGAUUCUGCUCUGAGGGAUUCUAGAACAACAUGAUGAUUCUGCUCUGAGGGAUUCUAGAACAACAUGAUGAUUCUGCUCUGAGGGAUUCUAGAACAACAUGAUGAUUCUGCUCUGAGGGAUUCUAGAACAACAUGCUGAUUCUGCUCUGAGGGAUUCUAGAACAACAGGGAAUUCUGUUUCCUUCCUGUUGAUGUACUGUCAGAUGGAAACACUCUAACCCAACAUGUAGAUUCUACUCUGUGAAUGACGAGGUUUGUGGCACAGAUCAUUAUCAUGAAAUAACAGACAACAGUUCACAGUAAACACAGACUAUCAUUGUGCACAACCCUAUACAACCCUAUUACAUAGCAUCAGCAAGGUACAUAAAACACUGACACCAUCCCUUUAAGGCCGAUAGAUAGGUCAUCCCUUUAAGACCUACACACAGUUCACCCCGUAAAAGACAGACAAUAAAGGUCAACCCUGUAAGACCGACAGACAGGUCAUCCCUUUAAGACCGACAGACAGGUCAUCCCUUUAAGACUGACGGGCAGGUCAUCCCUUUAAGACCGACAGGCAGGUCAUCCCUUUAAGACCGACAGACAGGUCAUCCCUUUAAGACUGACGGGCAGGUCAUCCCUUUAAGACCGACGGGCAGGUCAUCCCUUUAAGACCGACGGGCAGGUCAUCCCUUUAAGACCGACGGGCAGGUCAUCCCUUUAAGACCGACAGACAGGUCAUCCCUUUAAGACCGACAGACAGGUCAUCCCUUUAAGACCGACAGACAGGUCAUCCCUUUAAGACCUCAAAUAUAUUUGAAAAACGAGUUAAAAAAUGAUUAUUUACAAAAAUACUUUGCUGUGUAAACUUUUCAUUUUCAUUCCAACCAAAGGUUAGAGUUAGGUACUCUCUACCCCUAACCCUCUAUCCCCCUGUCUACCCCUAACCCCCUAUCCCCCUGUCUACCCC